AUGCCUUAAACUAAUGAGUAAGGAAAAUAAUGAGCCUGGGUAGCUACAGGCUCUCUAGCAUUAUCUAGGAAGAAUUUCUGCAAGGGUACAGGUCGCCCCCUGGUGACCCGCUUACUUUGCGGGAUGCCUGGGUUGCAGUGAUCUGCCUG